rnacentral:lncRNA from 13 species
UGUGAAUACCUCUCACCCAACCCUGCCUCUGUAACUGAACUUGUAUACUCCUUGCCCCUACCCUCCAGCACUGUAACUGAACUUACUCUGCAGCACCCCCACCCCCCAAAAAAACUACCCAAAUCUAUAACACUGCCCUUUGCUAAUGCCCUUUUCAGCCUUAGCCCACCUGCACCCAGGCGAAUAAACAGCCAUGUUGCUCACACAAAGCCUGUUUGGAAGGUCGCUUCAUUCAAAGCGCGUGUUUUUUCAACAUUUGGUGCUGAAACCCGGCACAGGGGAACUCCUACAGAAGACCAAACCCCCGACCCUGUUCUUGUGCUCCUCCAUGAAGAGAUCUACCUACUGACCUGGGGUCAUCAGACCAGCCCACAGACACACACCACUGGCUAUUUUGACAAACCGCAGCCAUACCACCUGCUCACAAAGACUUCAAAGCGCCCAGACUGCAGCGCGUCCAGCCGCCCCUCCUGGACCUUGCUUCAAGUGUCAGAAACCUGGCCACUGGGCCAAGAAAUGCCCGCAGCCCAGGAUUUCUCCUAAGCCCUGCCCCGUUUGUGCAGGGCCCCCACAGAAAGUCGACAAUCCAACUCAGGUUACUGCUCCCAGAGCUCCUGAAUCUCCAAUCCUCAGCUUGACAGCUAAAGACUAAUGCUGCCCGAGCAUCUCGGAAGCCCCCUGGACCAUCAUGGAUGCCAAACUUCGGGUAACUCUUAUGGUGGAGGGUGAGUCCAUCCCCUUCUUAAUCAGCACGGAGGCACCCACCCCACGCUGCCUUCUUUUCAAGGACCUGUCUCCUUGGCUUCCAUAACUGUUGUGGGAAUUGACAGCAAGGCCUCCAGGCUUCUCACAACUCCCCAAGUCUAGUGUCAAUUAGGCCAGCACUCCUUUCCACGUUCUUUCCUAAUCAUCCCCAUUUUUCCAGUUCCCCUGUUAGGCCAAAAUAUUCUAGCAAAAUUGUCUGCCUCCUUAACUUUUCCUGGGCUACAGCCACACCUCAUUGCCACCCUCUUCCUCAAACCAGUACCUCCCUCAAUAGCUCCCCUUAUGUCCCCCUGCCUUAACCCUAGGGUGUAAAACACCGCCUUCCCAUCCUUGCUAUAAGUCAUUCACCCCUCAUCAUCCCCUUAAAACCUAACCACCCUUACCCUGCCCAGCCCCAGUACCCCAUCCCACAACAGGCUUUAAAAGGUGUAAAGGUGUUAUCACCCAUCUAUUGCAACACGGCCUUUUAAUUCACCCUCCUGAUCUUCGGCAACUAUACUCCAAGGGGCAUCAU